rnacentral:rRNA from 1 species
AGAGUUUGAUCCUGGCUCAGGAUGAACGCUGGCGGCGUGCCUAAUACAUGCAAGUCGAGCGAACGGACGAGAAGCUUGCUUCUCUGAUGUUAGCGGCGGACGGGUGAGUAACACGUGGAUAACCUACCUAUAAGACUGGGAUAACUUCGGGAAACCGGAGCUAAUACCGGAUAAUAUUUUGAACCGCAUGGUUCAAAAGUGAAAGACGGUCUUGCUGUCACUUAUAGAUGGAUCCGCGCUGCAUUAGCUAGUUGGUAAGGUAACGGCUUACCAAGGCAACGAUGCAUAGCCGACCUGAGAGGGUGAUCGGCCACACUGGAACUGAGACACGGUCCAGACUCCUACGGGAGGCAGCAGUAGGGAAUCUUCCGCAAUGGGCGAAAGCCUGACGGAGCAACGCCGCGUGAGUGAUGAAGGUCUUCGGAUCGUAAAACUCUGUUAUUAGGGAAGAACAUAUGUGUAAGUAACUGUGCACAUCUUGACGGUACCUAAUCAGAAAGCCACGGCUAACUACGUGCCAGCAGCCGCGGUAAUACGUAGGUGGCAAGCGUUAUCCGGAAUUAUUGGGCGUAAAGCGCGCGUAGGCGGUUUUUUUAAGUCUGAUGUGAAAGCCCAUGGCUCAACCGUGGAGGGUCAUUGGAAACUGGAAAACUUGAGUGCAGAAGAGGAAAGUGGAAUUCCAUGUGUAGCGGUGAAAUGCGCAGAGAUAUGGAGGAACACCAGUGGCGAAGGCGACUUUCUGGUCUGUAACUGACGCUGAUGUGCGAAAGCGUGGGGAUCAAACAGGAUUAGAUACCCUGGUAGUCCACGCCGUAAACGAUGAGUGCUAAGUGUUAGGGGGUUUCCGCCCCUUAGUGCUGCAGCUAACGCAUUAAGCACUCCGCCUGGGGAGUACGACCGCAAGGUUGAAACUCAAAGGAAUUGACGGGGACCCGCACAAGCGGUGGAGCAUGUGGUUUAAUUCGAAGCAACGCGAAGAACCUUACCAAAUCUUGACAUCCUUUGACAACUCUAGAGAUAGAGCCUUCCCCUUCGGGGGACAAAGUGACAGGUGGUGCAUGGUUGUCGUCAGCUCGUGUCGUGAGAUGUUGGGUUAAGUCCCGCAACGAGCGCAACCCUUAAGCUUAGUUGCCAUCAUUAAGUUGGGCACUCUAAGUUGACUGCCGGUGACAAACCGGAGGAAGGUGGGGAUGACGUCAAAUCAUCAUGCCCCUUAUGAUUUGGGCUACACACGUGCUACAAUGGACAAUACAAAGGGCAGCGAAACCGCGAGGUCAAGCAAAUCCCAUAAAGUUGUUCUCAGUUCGGAUUGUAGUCUGCAACUCGACUACAUGAAGCUGGAAUCGCUAGUAAUCGUAGAUCAGCAUGCUACGGUGAAUACGUUCCCGGGUCUUGUACACACCGCCCGUCACACCACGAGAGUUUGUAACACCCGAAGCCGGUGGAGUAACCUUUUAGGAGCUAGCCGUCGAAGGUGGGACAAAUGAUUGGGGUGAAGUCGUAACAAGGUAGCCGUAUCGGAAGGUGCGGCUGGAUCACCU